rnacentral:rRNA from 1 species
UACAGAGGUCUCAAGCGUUGUUCGGAUUCAUUGGGCGUAAAGGGUGCGUAGGUGGGUCUGUAAGUCCGUGGUGAAAUCUCCAAGCUUAACUUGGAAACUGCCAUGGAUACUAUAGGUCUUGAAUACCGUGGAGGUGAGCGGAAUAUGUCAUGUAGCGGUGAAAUGCUUAGAUAUGACAUAGAACACCAAUUGCGAAGGCAGCUCACUACACGAAUAUUGACACUGAGGCACGAAAGCGUGGGGAUCAAACAGG